rnacentral:rRNA from 1 species
CGCGGCCUAUCAGCUUGUUGGUGAGGUAACGGCUCACCAAGGCGACGACGGGUAACCGGCCUGAGAGGGUGACCGGUCACACUGGGACUGAGACACGGCCCAGACUCCUACGGGAGGCAGCAGUGGGGAAUAUUGCACAAUGGGCGCAAGCCUGAUGCAGCAACGCCGCGUGAGGGAUGACGGCCUUCGGGUUGUAAACCUCUUUUAGCAGGGAAGAAGCGAAAGUGACGGUACCUGCAGAAAAAGCACCGGCUAACUACGUGCCAGCAGCCGCGGUAAUACGUAGGGUGCAAGCGUUGUCCGGAAUUAUUGGGCGUAAAGAGCUCGUAGGCGGUUUGUCACGUCUGCUGUGAAAAUCCAAGGCUCAACCUUGGACUUGCAGUGGGUACGGGCAGGCUAGAGUGCGGUAGGGGAGAUGGGAAUUCCUGGUGUAGCGGUGGAAUGCGCAGAUAUCAGGAGGAACACCAAUGGCGAAGGCAGUCUUCUGGGCCGGUACUGACGCUGAGGAGCGAAAGCAUGGGGAGCAAACAGGAUUAGAUACCCUGGUAGUCCAUGCCGUAAACGUUGGGCACUAGGUGUGGGGUCUUCUAACGGAUUCCGUGCCGUAGCUAACGCAUUAAGUGCCCCGCCUGGGGAGUACGG